AACCGUUUGACCCGGGCGUCCUGUCGCUGACACGGUAAAACAAACAGAAAACCGCGGUUUAAUGUUACUGUGAAAUUUCUUCCGGUUUGGUGUGAAGAUGGAUUUAGACUCCAUGAAAUAUGCGGACCUGAAGCAGCUCGUCAAGAGCGUUGGGUUAAAAGCCAACAUGAAUGUGAGGCGGUUAAAGGUCUGCAGAUGGAGUUGGAGAUGUGGUCUGGAUUAAUGGUGUCCUCCAUGCUGAGAAAUACAGACCGAUAUUAUCCAUCAUACAGUACCGUCAGGGAGGCGUCUGUUUGGCCCCAAAUUUAUUCUGCAGCAGGACGACAAGCCCAAACAUGCAGCACAUGUUCUUAAGAAGCAUCUUCAGUCUAGAGAAGAACAAGGAUCCUGGAGGUGAUGUUUGUCCCCACAGAGAUGGAUCUGAGGCAGUCCACAUCCAGAAGAUCUGCUGUUAGUUCUCCAAAAUGUUUGGAACAACCUGCAGAGUUCCUUAAAAACGGUAUUAAUUAAUACUAUUUAGAAAAGGAUGAUUUACAUUCCCUCUCCGGUGUCCCUCAGGGUUCCUGACUCACUCCAUUUUUAUACAUUUUGUCUCCUGAACGUUUCUGUGUCUGUGAAGCUCUUAUUGUUACAGUGUCCAGUGUUAAUGUUACAGUAAUCCAGCUGAACUCAACUGUGUCACUUCGAGCUUAUCUCCUUCUCACUGUAGUUUAUUUUGUGUUUUUACAAAAAAUAAUCCUGUUUUUAAUUAAACAAUGGCGCAGAGUGUUAAACUGCCUGAAUCUCACCUGAGCUGCACAUGGAGUCAAGUCACUUUUAUUGUCACAUCACCACAGUACAUGUGCCUUGGUGAGUGAAAUUCUUGGGAGUGAGCUCCAGAAAUUGCGGUUUAGAGUAUUGUUAUUGUAAAACAGGAUUCGACAUAAAAGUCUGUGUUCACGUUUAAAAAACGUGAUUAAAAAUUAAAUUUAAAUUGUAUAAUUUAAGUGGUACAGUUUAAAUUUUAAUCUUUGUGUUAUACCUCAACGAGUAAGAGGGGAGGAAAUGCUGUGCAUGUUAACGCUGUUUAUUUAACUACAUUUCCCAUAAUACACUUUGUUACAUGUGUUCCGUGUUAUCUCUGGCACGUGUGAGUAAAAGCGCAGUUACGUUAUAAGGGGCAGGACUAAAGAUGUCCUCGUGUCUGUCGUCAUAAAUACCGAUCGGGUUUCCUUUCUUAUAAUCAGACUGUUUUAUUCCUGAUCUGCUGUUCGUUUACACUCACCGACACACACGCCUAAGGCUGAAGAGGGAUUCGACACUGACUCUGAGUCUCCUGAAUUUUUUCCUGCUGUUCUGCAUUGAGUUUACUCUUACACAGCAGACACCGAGCCCAGGGAGAAGAUCCUGACCUGCUGCUCACACACUACCUGUUACAGAUGGAGAUCAGUCUCAGAUCAGUCAGGGUUUCGACACUGACUCUGACUCUUCCGAAUCUUUUCCUGCUGUUACAUGGAGUUUCCUCUUACAGCAUGCCCUAUGUUUCCUCUGGGUCUCCCUGAUUCUCCAAGACUUUGACACAUCUGUAGCCGGUCGCAACGACAGUCUGAAUUGAACGCUGCUGCCAGGGACACCUCCUCCACAAAGUUUGUGCACAUGAGCUGGUUCGCAUGGACAGUGAGGCUCAAGGCCAUGAAAACCCUGUGUACAUGUCAGGUCCCCUGAAGACUUCGUCUCGCACUUUGGUUCAGAUUCUGACGCGCCAGACAUCCGAUUCUGGGCGUCACCUUCUGUCCGACCCUGGAACCCCCUAUAGCCCAAACCCACAGGGAGACGUGUUUUUCCCUGCACAUGGUACAAAACAAACAGCUCAUGCAUCUCCUUUUUACACACACACACACACAUACACACACACACACACACACACAGACACACACACACACACACACACACACACACACACUCACAC